AUUGAACGCUGGCGGCAUGCCUUACACAUGCAAGUCGAACGGUAACGCGGGGCAACCUGGCGACGAGUGGCGAACGGGUGAGUAAUGCAUCGGAACGUGCCCAGUAGUGGGGGAUAGCCCGGCGAAAGCCGGAUUAAUACCGCAUACGACCUACGGGUGAAAGGGGGGGAUCGCAAGACCUCUCGCUAUUGGAGCGGCCGAUGUCAGAUUAGCUAGUUGGUGGGGUAAAGGCCUACCAAGGCGACGAUCUGUAGCUGGUCUGAGAGGACGACCAGCCACACUGGGACUGAGACACGGCCCAGACUCCUACGGGAGGCAGCAGUGGGGAAUUUUGGACAAUGGGCGAAAGCCUGAUCCAGCCAUGCCGCGUGCGGGAAGAAGGCCUUCGGGUUGUAAACCGCUUUUGUCAGGGAAGAAAUCUUCUGAGUUAAUACCUCGGGAGGAUGACGGUACCUGAAGAAUAAGCACCGGCUAACUACGUGCCAGCCGCCGCCGUAA
rnacentral:rRNA from 1 species